rnacentral:rRNA from 1 species
CCUACGGGAGGCAGCAGUGGGGGAUAUUGCACAAUGGGGGAAACCCUGAUGCAGCGACGCCGCGUGGGUGAAGAAGCGCCUCGGCGCGUAAAGCCCUGUCAGCAGGGAAGAAAAUGACGGUACCUGAAGAAGAAGCCCCGGCUAACUACGUGCCAGCAGCCGCGGUAAUACGUAGGGGGCAGGAGUUAUCCGGAUUUACUGGGUGUAAAGGGGGCGCAGACGGCGAUGCAAGACAGGAGUGAAAGCCCGGGGCCCAACCCCGGGACUGCUCUUGGAACUGCGUGGCGAGAGUGCAGGAGGGGCAGGCGGAAUUCCUGGUGUAGCGGUGAAAUGCGUAGAUAUCAGGAGGAACACCGGUGGCGAAGGCGGCCUGCUGGACUGCAACUGACGUUGAGGCCCGAAAGCGUGGGGAGCAAACAGGAUUAGAUACCCUUGUAGUC